rnacentral:rRNA from 1 species
CGGCCCCUACGGGAGGCAGCAGUGGGGAAUAUUGCACAAUGGGGGAAACCCUGAUGCAGCGACGCCGCGUGAGUGAAGAAGUAAUUCGUUAUGUAAAGCUCUAUCAGCAGGGAAGAAAAUGACGGUACCUGACUAAGAAGCCCCGGCUAACUACGUGCCAGCAGCCGCGGUAAUACGUAGGGGGCAAGCGUUAUCCGGAUUUACUGGGUGUAAAGGGAGCGUAGACGGAUAAGCAAGUCUGAUGUGAAAAUCCGGGGCCCAACCCCGGAAUUGCAUUGGAAACUGCAUAUCUAGAGUGUCGGAGG